rnacentral:misc_RNA from 1 species
GUAGGUGAACCUGCGGAAGGAUCAUUAACACGUAUCCACGUAUCAACAACCCGUGAACUCAAUACCCAACAUAGGAAUAGCUGCGUUGCAUAGUUAGUGAUGGGUGUGCAGUCUAAACAACUGUACACGACUGUGCUGCGCUAGGGCUUCGAGCCCACUGCUGCCCUAUGUUGGGAACUUUUUUUUCCCAUCACUUAAAAACACUUUUCACCCUAAACUCAUCUUGACUGAUGUACUUAUGUAAGAGAAAUCUGGCAUGAGUCUUUAUCUAAACUAAGCACAACUCUUAGCAAUGGAUAUCUUGGUUCUC